UACGUAGGGUGCAAGCGUUGUCCGGAAUUAUUGGGCGUAAAGAGCUCGUAGGCGGUCUGUCGCGUCGGCUGUGAAAAACCCGAGGCUCAACCUCGGGCCUGCAGUCGAUACGGGCAAACUAGAGUACUGCAGGGGAGACUGGAAUUCCUGGUGUAGCGGUGAAAUGCGCAGAUAUCAGGAGGAACACCGGUGGCGAAGGCGGG
rnacentral:rRNA from 1 species